rnacentral:rRNA from 1 species
CGGGGGGAGCAAGCGUUGUUCGGAUUUACUGGGCGUAAAGGGCGCGUAGGCGGCCAGCGCAAGUCAGUUGUGAAAUCUCCGGGCUUAACUCGGAACGGUCAACUGAUACUGCGCGGCUAGAGUGCAGAAGGGGCAACUGGAAUUCUCGGUGUAGCGGUGAAAUGCGUAGAUAUCGAGAGGAACACCUGCGGCGAAGGCGGGUUGCUGGGCUGACACUGACGCUGAUGCGCGAAAGCCAGGGGAGCGAACGGGAUUAGAUACCCCGGUAGUCCUGGCCUUAAACGAUGGAUGCUUGGUGUCUGGAGUUUUAUAGUCUCCGGGUGCCGCAGCUAACGCGUUAAGCAUCCCGCCUGGGGAGUACGGUCGCAAGACUG